rnacentral:rRNA from 1 species
AUACGGAGGGUGCAAGCGUUACUCGGAAUCACUGGGCGUAAAGCGCGCGCAGGCGGUCUUUUAAGUUGGAUGUGAAAGCCUACGGCUCAACCGUAGAACUGUAUCCAAAGCUAUUAGACUAGAGUGUGGGAGAGGAAGAUGGAAUUAGUUGUGUAGGGGUAAAAUCCGUAGAGAUAACUAGGAAUACCAAAAGCGAAGGCAAUCUUCUGGAACACUACUGACGCUGAGGCGCGAAAGCGUGGGGAGCAAACAGGAUUAGAAACCCGUGUAGUCC